rnacentral:rRNA from 1 species
GAUGAACGCUGGCGGCGUGCCUAAUACAUGCAAGUCGAGCGAACAGACGAGGAGCUUGCUCCUCUGACGUUAGCGGCGGACGGGUGAGUAACACGUGGAUAACCUACCUAUAAGACUGGGAUAACUUCGGGAAACCGGAGCUAAUACCGGAUAAUAUAUUGAACCGCAUGGUUCAAUAGUGAAAGACGGUUUUGCUGUCACUUAUAGAUGGAUCCGCGCCGCAUUAGCUAGUUGGUAAGGUAACGGCUUACCAAGGCAACGAUGCGUAGCCGACCUGAGACGGUGAUCGGCCACACUGGAACUGAGACACGGUCCAGACUCCUACGGGAGGCAGCAGUAGGGAAUCUUCCGCAAUGGGCGAAAGCUUGACGGAGCAACGCCGCGUGAGUGAUGAAGGUCUUCGGAUCGUAAAACUCUGUUAUUAGGGAAGAACAAAUGUGUAAGUAACUAUGCACGUCUUGACGGUACCUAAUCAGAAAGCCACGGCUAACUACGUG